UGGGCUGGCCGGGCGACCGCGUGGACCGGAGUGAUCUGGUCCCCGAGGAAGGUCCGGGCUCCACAGAGCAAGGUGGUGGGUAACACCCACCCGGGGUAACCCGCGGGACAGUGCCACAGAGAACAGACCGCCAGCCGCUCCUCCGGGAGUGGUCGGCAAGGGUGAAACGGUGGAGUAAGAGACCACCAGCGGCCCGGGCGACCGGAUCGGCUCGGCAAACCCCACCUGGAGCAAGAUCAGACAGUGCGCGUUCGAGGGCUGCUCGCCCGAGUGCACGGGUAGAUCGCUGGAGGCUGUCGGCAACGGCAGUCGUAGAUGGAUGGUCGCCGGCUGGCUUGCCAGUCACAGAACCCGGCCUACAGGCCAGCCCGUCCG
rnacentral:RNase_P_RNA from 1 species